ensembl:snRNA U1 U1 spliceosomal RNA
ACACUUCCCUGGCAGGGGAGAUUCGAUGAUCAUGAAGGUGGUUUUCCCAGGGUGAGGCUCAUCCAUUGAACUCCAGAUGUGGGGACCCCUGCGAUGUGGGAAACUCGACUGCAUAAUUUGCAGUAGUGGGGGACUGCGUUCACGCUUUUCCCUA